CCACGCGAAGGGACAAACGAAGCCAUAAAGAAAUUAAACGAAUCGUGCCCGAUAACAUGUUUAAGACCAUGGAACGCGCUUAGGGAAGAGAACAGCGCCUGGCACGGAGCACGUGCUCAAGAAAUCCGCGGAUUGAACCAACGACCCGGUAAACGGAGGCUACGAAGACGGCACACGAGGAGCGCGGAGGCAGCGAGGCAAAGGUCGCCGCCCCGGGUCACUACAGCUACGGACCUCGAGCUCUUCCCGGGCUCCGGGCACGGCCCCCAGUGCCCUGGUCCGGGCCCCGAGGGCUCGAGGGAGGCGGGCCGCCGCCCCGGGAACGGCAGCCACCGGGUCCCACCUGAGGGGCCACCGCAGGGGACGCUCCCGGAGAGCGCGGGACACAGCCUGCCCGGCUCCGGCGCCUGCGCACUCCGUCGCGGCGCGCGCCCCGCCCUCGCCCGGGACCGCGGAGGCGCCGGGGAAGGACCGGGCCAAUCACAGCGCUCCGGGCGUGGGCGUGGGCGUGGGCGUGGGCGUGGCCUCCUCCCUACGCCUGCGCCGGGCUCCGGGGGGCGGGGCUGCGGGGGGCGGGGCGGCGGGGCGCGCGUACGGAGGCCCGCGAGGCCCUGCUCGGCGCGGCGGCCGUCGGCGCGGGAGGCCCCCGGCGCGGUAGGUGUCCCCGCGCGGCGCCCGUGGGUCCUCGGCGUGGCGGCGCCCGUGGUUGAGCGCAGGUCCCGCGUGGGGUCCUUCCAGCGCGGGGAGGACGCGGUUCCCAGGGCGCCCGGUCGUGCCCGCCAGCCCGCCCAGGGCGCCGCCUCCCUUCUCUGGGGCCUGCUCCCCUCGGCCGAGCUGGCCCCGUGUCUCGCUCAGCCCCGGCCGGGCCUCGACCCGCUGGCGCGCGUGUCUGCUGACCCUGGUGUGCGGGGACCCGUCGCUGUGCGGCGUCUGUUGCUGGCGGCGGGCCGCGCGCUCCGGCAGCCCCGGAGGGAGCGUGGGUCCCGGCGCCGCCCCUCGGCUGACCCGGGGCGCCCGUGCCCUCGUCCUGCCUCCUGGGUGCCGCGGGGCGGGGGAGCGGGGCCAGCCGCUCUCCCGAGCUGGGCCCUUGCGCUCCGGCGCGAGGCCUUCAUGGAUCCCGCCCUAGGAGGACGCAGCGUGUGUUGGACACCGUGUUUUCUAUUUCCUUUAGUCACAGAUCAAGA
rnacentral:lncRNA from 1 species